rnacentral:misc_RNA from 1 species
GUGAAAUUCACCUUUUUUUUCUCUUCUAACUUUAAAAGGUUUGCAAUAGUUAACUUGUUAUGGUAGUUUCUAGAUCUGAAAGUAAUUUCUUUGCUUGUUGAAUAGUUAAAGGGAAAAAAAAAAUUUGGACUGCAAAGAUCUAUAGUUUAUCAUAAGUGCUGUGGUGGUGUCACAUGGAAUUGGAGUACCAAUGUACCACUAAAUUUGCAAUCUCCUACCAAUAAUUUCAAGAAUUUUUUAAGUGUUGCUUAGAUUGGUUUUACAUUUUGCGACUUUAACCUGGUUGGUAAUCCCAUAGGUAUCUAAAUGGCAAUGGUUAUAUUUGUUGGCCUAGGUGAUUGUUUUGCUUGUGAACUUUCGUAGCUAUAAAUGCUAAACAAUUUCCCAAACAAGCACACGUGCUGAUAACCAAAAAGAAAAAAAAGAGGCAUGAUCAGCCAUUGUUUUCAUUGUAUUUUUUAAUUAUUCAAGAAGCAGUUUGAUGGGGAUAUUAAUAGAAGGUCUAAUUUCUUGAGUAGAUGAGAAACUUAAAAGAAUUCGUUUAAUCUGCUGGUUAAAGCAACUAAAAUUUAGAGGUUUUACUGGAUUAGUGCUUUGUUUGGAACAGGAGUGUAGAUCAUUCAGUCAUUAGCUUUGCAAUUAAAAAAUAAUGUCAUUUCAAGGUUACACUUUUGGGUCCUUAAGUGCUACUCUUGAACCAGUGUAACCCUUCCUGACCUAGAUAUUCCUUCCUCCAACUUUCAAUCUCACCUUCCUUGACUGAGACCCAUCAAAAAGGGUUAAUUAAUCCUUUUACUAAUUGAAUCUUUCACCUGGGGAUGUUUCAAGAAUUGGGCUUAUUAAGAUGGAUCAUCCUAUGUUCUGCUGAUCAAUGAAUUCAUAUUGUUUGUGUCCAGGGUGUGCCGUAGAAAAAUUCUUUUAAGCAUUUCUUCCUAACUCAUGGAGAAUUGAACUUGGAAAUUUUUUCCCCCAAUCUUAUGUCACAAUCAGUGACACAUGGUGACUUUUUGUUCUAGGAACAAUUCUUUUGUAGUAUAUGAACUGUAUGACAUGCUGUCAAGUUUCAAAUAAUUUUUAUGAAAGGCAUCCUUACAUGUUUGAAGACUAAUUGUAUAGAAUUAUAUUAAGGUAGCAGGAAAUAUUUACAAUAUACAUGUUAAAUAGAGUUUCAUUGAGCAUAUGAUGGGUUUUGCUAUAGUGUCUUCUGCUUGGUUACUGAAACUAAUUUGUUAAAACAUAUUUUUCCAAAUUCUUUUUUGUGUACCAUUGGAAACUCAAGGAAUAUGCCCAUGUAUGUGUAUUUAUUUUUGUUAUUAUGAGGAUUUGGCUUUCAUAUAGGAAACUAGCUAGUACAUCUUUUUUGGGUGAAAUGAUAUUUGGUAUGAGGGAUAAGGCAGUGGCUUUACAUUCAGAGAUGGCCAGGCAUUACCUUGCUUCUCCGAGUUGGCAAAUAAUAUGCUUUUAUAAUCAUUGGGUUCUUUAUUAUCAAAUUAUAUUUUGGCAAAGUGAGAGUCAAUGAUGAUAAUAAGAUUACUGUGGAGUUUCCUUCUUGGGGUAGUUGUGACGCUCACAGCUCUCUUGCCUUUCAAUCUGCAACAUAAAGGAAAUGUUUGAUCUGAAGUGGCAUAUCAAGCUUACCCUUGUCUUCAGGGAGCUGAGUGUUUGUGUGGACUGGCUGGCAAGCUAGGCAUUUCUUCUUAAUGUAGGAUCCUGCUUCUUCCUGUCUAUCUCAAGUGCCUCAGUUUGGUUUUGACUGAUGCUUUUGGUAUUAGCAUAGCCGACCUUAAAUUUUUUGGAUAAAGGUUGAGUUGAG